CAUACUGAAAUUAAAAAAACAUGUCAGUAAAUCAAUAUGAGGACAAGCAUAUCAUUUAUAUUAUAUGUUGUACGUUUGUGCAUAUGUAUGUAUAUGUAUGACUUAUAUGUGCAUGUGUUCAUGCAUGAGUUCACAUAUGGUUUAUGUACAUGUAUACAAACAUGAGUUGUGUUCUUUCAUGUACAUGUGGGCUGCUUGCACGCAUGCUAGUAUGUAUGAGAUUAUAUAUUCUGAAAGACUACAAAAACAAUAGUUCUAUCACCACACAUCUUGAAUUGGUUUCAAAACAGAGUAAAAUGAAUAACAGUGAUAUAACAGAAUAUUUUAAGCAUAUGUGAAUAUUUGCAGAUGUAAACUCUAGUUCACCAAUCAUGGUGAGCCAUUAGCUUGAUCUAUAAUUAGGCAUUCAUUCUAUGUGAGGAACAUUUAAUAUGUAUUUGGCUUUGUAAUAAGUUGAUCUCAAAAAGCUGUAUUGUAAAUGUUCUUUUUAGUUUCCCCUAGCAAUUAAUGACUCAGCUAAUGGCAAAAACUGAGAGAGUAGAAAGGUGACUGUCUGUUUUUUUGUUAAUAGUCAUAGAUAACACAUGGUGGUAUAGUAAGUUCUCCCGCAAGAGACUUUUUAUUUUGUUUUUUUGAGAGAAUAUUAGAAAAUUUUCAAAUUCACUGGGGCUGGACCUGUGUUUCAUUAUUAACUCUGGAUUCUGUGUCUUUAUAUCAUUGCUGUAACUGGUGUAAAAAGCAGUCUAGGUGUCCGCCUAGAUGGAGGUUGUAGGUGGGCCACCUAAUGAAGCACUUAGGGUGCCUAAGAGGCAUGAACCGCUUAAAUGGGCUGCAUUGCUUUGAAAAAGAUAUGUGCCAGUAUGUGAGGAAAAUGAAUCAUAACAAAACGGAUUGAGUCAAUAUCCGAUGGCCAAAUCCAAAUUAGAGAAAAAACUACCGUCAGAAUUUUGCAUCCCCGAAUAGACUUUUCAAUUUCUCAUCUUCAUAGUUUUGUUUUACAGUAGUGCUCAGAAUUUUUGUGAUCAUUUUCAUCUUCCUCUCUUUUACAAUCUUGCUUAGAAUUUCCAUGAUCAUUUUCAUCUUCCUAUCUAUUUCUUCAGUUCUUUCUCUUGUUCUUCUCCUAUUUCUCUCACUGUGGCAGCCACUUAGACAUCUGGUGCCAGGUCCAGCACCUAGAAGUUUCAAGGCCUUCUAACAUUCUAAGAUUUUGGAGUGAUUAAACAUAUGUUCUUGUUAUUGGACAAAGAUACCUUCCAGAUUUUACAUAUAUAAUUAGAGACUACAAUCUUUUCUUAUCGAGUGUUCUUUGGUUUCAUUAAGAAGAAAACAAAAACUUCUACCCCUUAAAACCAAACCUUAAUAAUCAAGAACUAAGCUCUCUAAUGCCUGGUUCUGAAUUAACUCACAAUUUUGCACUUGAAACUGUGCCCCUUGAAAUCGGACCUUAAGAAAAAAGCUCCUUAAUUCAUUUACUGUUUGCUUAAGUCAUGUAUUCAUCUUCUACCAUAUGAUUGUCAUGCUAUUUGGUCCAGUUUGAAUUAAAAAAAAAAACCCUGCUUUUGUGCACCGUUCAUGCAUUCUGGACAGGAUUAACCUUGCAGGCUCAAUUUUUGCAUUGCUGGAUAUUGACCUCUUGUUCCUUCAAAGAGGAAGCUUAAAGCCAUCAUUGGCGUUAACUAUCGGAGGUGAUUAAAGACAGAAAGGAUGACAUUUUGCUGAAGGUGGAAUGCACUAGCUGGACCAGCAGUGCAAAGCCUACAACAGCAGGACAUGCCCAUGAUCCCAAACCUGCUUAACCAAGGAACCAAAGGUGCUGGAGCAAGAGUCUUGGUAUCUCUCAUGCCAGGUUUGGGAUGGAAGUCUAUUUUUGGCUAUCUCUGGUUCCAGCUGGCUGAGGUUUGUAUCCCGUAUGGGGUAACGAACUAUGACAAUCGCACAUACUAGCUUGUUUGGAGCUGUUGAAUUGAGUCUUGGUAUCUCUCAUGCCAGGUUUGGGAUGGAAGUUUAUUUUUGGCUAUCUCUGGUUCCAGCUGGUUGAGGUUUGUAUCCCGUAUGGGGUAACGAACUAUGCCAAUCGCACAUACUAGCUUGUUUGGAGCUGUUGAAUUGAAUAUCAGUCAUCAUCCUGUGUUCGCCUUUUCAAUGUGUUUUUUUCUUCCACUUAAAUUUCAAACUAGCAUAAUUUUGCAUCAUAGUUCCCGAUUGAGGUAAGCCAGGAGUUGACAAAAAGCGAUUUUUGAGGCCCGCGAGGUGGUGACAGGUUCACUGGUUUGAGAUUAAUCUGGGUGGAAGGGCUAUUUGAGCUACCUGAGACCGAUGGAUAUUGAUUCGAAAUUUAUCAAAUCAUAGCAUGAUUUCGUUUUGGACCCAUAGAUUUCGUUUGAGACACAGCUGAGGAUAUUGUUCUGAACUUUCACUUGAGGGUCGUCAAUUAGGUUAGGAGGAUGCUGUAGGGACUGAUCCCCUCUCGUAUGUCUGGUGCAUGAUCCACUGACAUUGUUGAUUUUUAUGCUUGAACCUUUUAGGACUAGCGAGCAACUUUUCAUGUAUUGUUAACUAAUAAAAGAUAAAUUAUCUGGGGAUUAAGGGGGUAAUAAAAGGUGAAGCACUGUAUAGUCUUAGGGCAGCUAGCGUGUUAUAUAUGAUACAUUUGUAUGAACUUGAACCUAGUACAUUAUUUAUACAUGGUAUAUGUAUGAGCCACCUCGGGUCUGGUACAUUGUAUAUGGUACUGAUGCUGUCCACCUCGGAACUGGUACAAUCACCUCGAGCUUAGCGCAUUGCAUUCUUCCUUGAUUUGAUGGGUAGUAGUCACCAGUUAAUUCCAAACAAGACUAAUAAAAGAUGCGUAGUUUAUUAUCUUGGAUCUUUGUCAUGUUGUAUUCAUAUUUCCAAUUUUGAUUUAACGGAAUGUAACUUUUACAUUUACAUGCUUGACACCUAUAUGCCUGCCGCCUCACGCACUUUUUGACGUCGACUCUUGACACCUUAAUAGGCGUAGCUAGACUUGUUAUAUUUUGUUUGUGGUGCUGCUAGUGUUAGUAUGGUAGGUUGUCCACAAUGUUUAUUGCUCUUUCCUUUGACACUUGUGAUAUGCUUAGGAUCCGCCGUGUUAGUAUAGCUGACACCUUUAUUGAUGUUUGCUUACGUGUGUGUUAAUCACAUGCUACUGUAGUGAGAACAUAUCUCCUCAGUACACCCCGCAAGCGAGCGAAAGUAGGAAUCCCGUCAGAACCAACCCUAUGGGAGUGUAGUAGUAGUUUACACAAUUGAUAGGAUAGUCAUGAUUCCCUAACCAACCCUUUAACUACUCAUGAAUGCUAUAGAUCAUCCUAUUUUAUAGGUUGUUCUGAUAGAAUCUUUACUCUGUGAGUGACACGUUCUCAACCAACAAAAGGUUGGAAUGUCUAUAUUGCCUCCCUACCCAACUCAUGGAUGGUUGAGAAUUCCCACUAUCUUGCAGGGUUUCUGUGGUGAUAUGGUACUCUGGGAUAAUAGAUGUUAUUGUUUCAUUAUUAUUUGCUUAUGAUUUCAUGCUUUUCGUCUUUAGUACUCAUGCGUUCCUACGCUGUGUGUGUUGCGUGUUCCUACGCUGUGUGUGUUGCAUGCAUACUUUGUUUACCACUUGCUAGUCUUCUUUCAGGUGGACCUACGGUUGCAUAUCCAGACCCAGGAGUGUGAUUUUCCAUUGCCUGUUCGAGCUCAUCCGGACAUGCUGGUGCAGCAUCAAUGAGAUCAAAUACACCCUAACCACUCCAUCAUCUAUAGCUGCAUACCCCUUACUUUUCAGUGAGAUACUGUAUCAGUUUUAUGGCCGUGUGCCUUACAAUUAUAGUCAUAUACCAGUUGAAACUUGUAUUAUUUCUAGUUUCAGACAUAUUGGAUUUGUAUUCAUUUAUCUCAUUUUAGUGUCUGUUGCUUAUUCUUGUUUUA